rnacentral:rRNA from 1 species
UACAGAGGGUGCGAGCGUUAAUCGGAGUUACUGGGCGUAAAGGGCGCGUAGGCGGCCGUAUAAGUCAGCUGUGAAAUCCCCGGGCUCAACCUGGGAACUGCAGUUGAAACUGUGCGGCUAGAGUCGAAGAGAGGGGGGCGGAAUUUCCGGUGUAGCGGUGAAAUGCGUAGAUAUCGGAAGGAACAUCUGUGGCGAAGGCGGCCCCCUGGAUUCAGACUGACGCUGAGGCGCGAAAGCGUGGGUAGCGAACAGG